AUACGGAGGGUGCAAGCGUUGUCCGGAUUUAUUGGGUUUAAAGGGUGUGUAGGCGGUGUAUUAAGUCAGUGGAGAAAGCCUGCGGCUCAACCGUAGAACUGCCAUUGAUACUGACACACUUGAGUUUGGUUGAGGUAGGCGGAAUUUAUGGUGUAGCGGUGAAAUGCAUAGAUACCAUAAAGAACACCGAUAGCGAAGGCAGCUUACUAAGCCGAAACUGACGCUGAGGCACGAAAGCGUGGGGAGCGAACAGGAUUAGAAACCCGGGUAGUCC
rnacentral:rRNA from 1 species